UACGUAGGCAGCGAGCGUUGUUCGGAAUUACUGGGCGUAAAGAGUGUGUAGGCGGUGCUCUAAGUUCGGUGUGAAAUCUCCUGCUUAACUGGGAGGGUGCGCCGAAAACUGGAGUGCUCGAGCGUGGGAGAGGAAAGCGGAAUUCCUGGUGUAGCGGUGAAAUGCGUAGAUAUCAGGAGGAACACCUGCGGUGUAGACGGCUUUCUGGACCAUUGCUGACGCUAAGACACGAAAGCGUGGGUAGCAAACAGG
rnacentral:rRNA from 1 species